rnacentral:rRNA from 1 species
AGCAGCCACUCAUUAAAAGAGUGCGUAAUAGCUCACUGGUCGAGUGACUCUGCGCGGAAAAUAUAACGGGGCUAAGCAUGAAACCGAAGCUUGGGCUUGUACUUAGGUACAGGGGUAGGGGAGCGUCGAGUAUGGGGUGAAGUCAGAGCGGAAGCACUGGUGGACUGUACUGGAGUGAGAAUGCCGGAAUGAGUAGCGAGAAUUAUGUGGGAAUCAUAAUGGCCGAAAAUCUAAGGUUUCUUGGGGAAGGUUCGUCCGCCCAAGGUAAGUCGGGAGCUAAGCUCAGGCCGAGAGGCGUAGGCGAUGCACAUACGGUAGAAAUUCCGUAACCACCGAAACUUAAACAGAGGGACACUUCGAAAUAGCGGAACCCGGGCGUUGGUUGACCCGGGCGUAAGGGAGCGAAAUUAGAGUAGCGAAGUCCGCGAUGUUCGGAGGCGAGAAAAGCUCUGAGGUAUGCUAAGGUGCCCGUACCGCAAACCGACACAGGUAGAUGAGGAGAGAAUCCUAAGGCCAACGGGAGAAGGGUUGUUAAGGAACUCGGCAAAUUGACCCCGUAACUUCGGAAGAAGGGGAGCCUCGAAAGAGGCCGCAGUGAAUAGGCCCAAGCAACUGUUUACCAAAAACACAGGUCUAUGCUAAAUCGAAAGAUGACGUAUAUGGGCUGACGCCUGCCCGGUGCCGGAAGGUUAAGAGGAGAGCUUAGCGCAAGCGAAGGUUUGAAUUGAAGCCCCGGUAAACGGCGGCCGUAACUAUAACGGUCCUAAGGUAGCGAAAUUCCUUGUCAGGUAAGUUCUGACCCGCACGAAUGGCGUAAUGAUUUGGGCACUGUCUCAACAGCCCGCCCGGCGAAAUUGUAGUACUGGUGAAGAUGCCAGUUACCCGCAACUAGACGGAAAGACCCCAUGGAGCUUUACUGCAGUUUAAUACUGGGAAUCGGUAAUUCAUGUACAGGAUAGGUGGGAGACUGAGAAGCAUGGCCGUCAGGUCGUGUGGAGUCACCGGUGGGAUACCACUCUUGGAUUGCUGGUUUCCUAACCUGCGGCCCUGAAUCGGGUCGGGGGACACUGUUAGACGGGCAGUUUGACUGGGGCGGUCGCCUCCAAAAGAGUAACGGAGGCGCUCAAAGGUUCGUUCAGCACGGACGGAAAUCGUGCAUUGAGUGUAAACGCAUAAACGAGCCUAACUGCGAGACCGACGGGUCGAGCAGUAACGAAAGUUGGAGUUAGUGAUCCGGUGGUAUGUGAGUGG